rnacentral:rRNA from 1 species
AUAAGUGCAUGUGGUGGAUGCCUUGGCAAUGAUAGGCGACGAAGGACGUGACAGCCUGCGAUAAGCUGCGGGGAGCCGGCAAAUGGGCGCUGAUCCGCAGAUUUCCGAAUGGGGAAACCCGGCCCGCGAGGGUCACCGUGGACUGAAUACAUAGGUCCAUAGGAGCGAACCCGGAGAACUGAAACAUCUCAGUAACCGGAGGAACAGAAAUCAACCGAGAUUCCCGGAGUAGUGGCGAGCGAAACGGGAGGAGCCAUCGAGCUUUAGCACCGGUGUUAGCGGAAGCGUCUGGAAAGGCGUGCCAUAGCGGGUGAUAGCCCCGUACGCGAAAGCCCUGGUGUGGAACUAGGCUCGAGACAAGUAGGGCGGGACACGUGAAAUCCUGUCUGAAGAUGGGGGGACCAUCCUCCAAGGCUAAAUACUCAUCAUUGACCGAUAGUGAACCAGUACCGUGAGGGAAAGGCGAAAAGAACCCCGGGAGGGGAGUGAAAUAGAUCCUGAAACCGCAUGCAUACAAACAGUCGGAGCCCAGCAUUAAGCGCCCUUGCUACCGGGGUUGUUUGACGUUCGCAUCGCGCAAGCGAUGAGAGACGUCAAAAGCGGUAGGAGGGGAGUGAAUUGCGCAUCCCGUUUGCAGGUGAGACGGAGGGCGUUUAAUGCUGGGUGACGGCGUACCUUUUGUAUAAUGGGUCAGCGACUUACGUUGCGUUGCGAGCUUAAGGCUUGAUGCCGGAGGCGUAGCGAAAGCGAGUCUGAAUAGGGCGAUUCAGUAGCGCUGCGUAGACCCGAAACCGGUUGAUCUAUCCAUGGCCAGGCUGAAGGUGGGGUAACACCCACUGGAGGGCCGAACCCACGCCCGUUGAAAAGGUCGGGGAUGAGCUGUGGAUAGGGGUGAAAGGCUAAACAAAACCGGAGAUAGCUGGUUCUCCUCGAAAACUAUUGAGGUAGUGCCUCGUGUAUUGCCUGCGGGGGUAGAGCACUGUUAUGGCUAGGGGGCCGCUAUAGGCUUACCAAACCAUGGCAAACUCCGAAUACCGCAGAGCUUGAGCACGGGAGACAGACCACGGGUGCUAACGUCCGGGGUCAAGAGGGAAACAACCCAGACCGCCAGCUAAGGUCCCGAAUCUCGGCUAAGUGGAAAACGAGGUGGGAAGGCUCAGACAGUCAGGAGGUUGGCUUAGAAGCAGCCAUCCUUUAAAGAAAGCGUAAUAGCUCACUGAUCGAGUCGUCCUGCGCGGAAGAUGUAACGGGGCUCAAGCCGAGAACCGAAGCUGCGGAUCGUCAGCGAUUCACUUGAUCGCGUUUGACGUCAUGCCAAUCAAUUGGAGUGUGCGAGCGCCUUGCCGCGAUAAGCGGUGAUGGCCCGACGCCUCUAUUGGUCGGUUUGACGCAUUGAUGUCUCUAUCGAGACUUCAAUGCGUCAAACCUUGGGCGGCGUCGAGCGAAGCGCGAUCAAGGAAUCGCUGACGGUGGUAGAGGAGCGUUCCCUAGGCCUGUGAAGGUGCAUCGAGAGGUGUGCUGGAGGUAUGGGAAGUGCGAAUGCUGACAUGAGUAGCGAUAAAGCGGGUGAAAGGCCCGCUCGCCGAAAGCCCAAGGUUUCCUGCGCAACGUUCAUCGGCGCAGGGUGAGUCGGCCCCUAAGGUGAGGCAGAGAUGCGUAGCUGAUGGGAAUCCGGUCAAUAUUCCGGAACCGCCGACGGGUGCGAUGUGGGGACGGAGAAGGUUAUGCGAGCCGGCUGUUGGACGUGCCGGUGAAGCGUGUAGCGAGGCUCUUUAGGGAAAUCCGGAGGGUCAAUCGUGAGGCGCGGGACCAGGGGGGCUUUGCCUCCUGAAGUCGCGGAUACCCUGCUUCCAGGAAAAGCCACUAAGCUUCAGCCCGUUGGGACCGUACCGCAAACCGACACAGGUGGGCAGGAUGAAAAUUCUCAGGCGCUUGAGAGAACUCAGGAGAAGGAACUCGGCAAAUUGACACCGUAACUUCGGGAGAAGGUGUGCCGCUGGUAGGUGAGGGGGAUUUACUCUCCCGAGCCGAGAGCGGCCGCAGAGAAUCGGUGGCUGCGACUGUUUAUCAAAAACACAGCACUCUGCUAAGACGUUGGAAGUCGACGUAUAGGGUGUGACGCCUGCCCGGUGCCGGAAGGUUAAGUGAUGGGGUGAGAGCUCUUGAUCGAAGCCCCGGUAAACGGCGGCCGUAACUAUAACGGUCCUAAGGUAGCGAAAUUCCUUGUCGGGUAAGUUCCGACCCGCACGAAUGGCGUAACGAUGGCCACACUGUCUCCUCCUGAGACUCAGCGAAGUUGAAAUGUUUGUGAAGAUGCAAUCUUCCCGCGGCUAGACGGAAAGACCCCAUGAACCUUUACUGUAGCUUUGCAUUGGACUGUGACGCUGUCUGUGUAGGAUAGCUGGGAGGCUUUGAAGCCGGGUCGCCAGACUCGGUGGAGCCGACGUUGAAAUACCAGCCUGACGACGUUGCGGUUCUAACCUGGGCCCCUUGACGGGGUCGGGGACCGUGCAUGGUAGGCAGUUUGACUGGGGCGGUCUCCUCCCAAAGGGUAACGGAGGAGUGCGAAGGUCACCUAGGUACGGUCGGAAAUCGUACUCAUAGUGCAAUGGCAUAAGGUGGCUUGACUGCGAGACUGACAAGUCGAGCAGGUGCGAAAGCAGGUCAUAGUGAUCCGGUGGUUCUGUAUGGAAGGGCCAUCGCUCAACGGAUAAAAGGUACUCUGGGGAUAACAGGCUGAUUCCUCCCAAGAGUUCAUAUCGACGGGGGAGUUUGGCACCUCGAUGUCGGCUCAUCACAUCCUGGGGCUGUAGCCGGUCCCAAGGGUAUGGCUGUUCGCCAUUUAAAGUGGUACGUGAGCUGGGUUUAAAACGUCGUGAGACAGUUUGGUCCCUAUCUGCCGUGGGCGCUGGAGAUUUGACGGGGGCUGCUCCUAGUACGAGAGGACCGGAGUGGACGCAUCCCUGGUGUACCGGUUGUCACGCCAGUGGCAUCGCCGGGUAGCUAUAUGCGGAAGAGAUAACCGCUGAAAGCAUCUAAGCGGGAAACUUGCCUGAAGAUGAGAUCUCCCGGGAGCUUGACUCCCCUGAAGGGUCGUCCGAGACCAGGACGUUGAUAGGCCGGGUGUGUAAGGGCAGUAAUGCCUUGAGCUAACCGGUACUAAUUGCCCGUGCGGCUUGACU